rnacentral:lncRNA from 1 species
CGCCACUGCUGCCCCAUAAAUACCUGCUGGAUAAACCAACACCGAAAGAUGACAUCAACCAAAGGCCCGGGGCAGCUCUGCUCGAACCUGGUCGGGGCAGCCAGAGCCUGCUCACAGCAGCUGGGUGUCGUUUCCCAGGUCCUUGUUCAGCGACAUGUCAUUGGUACUUUGGAAUAAGCCACGACAAGGGUAUUUACGCCACAGAAACAGCCAACCCCUACAAACCAAGGAUUUUUUUUUAAGGAGAACUGACCUGAAGCAUUUACCAGCAUGACACUAUUGCCCUUCCACUACCAUUGUGGAAAAAUGUCACAAAAAUACCUACGUUUUGGCUGUGAAGCCAAACGAGACACCGGAACUUAGUUCAUUUGGCUUACUUUGCUAAGCUAAAAGACAAAAUAAGUCCCUGAAAAUAAAUUCCAUGGUCUUUUCAGGGUUGGUGUGAUGUGUUUGUUUAUUAUGAGCACUGUGGAGAAGAUCCAAGAUUGAUUAUCGUCACGAUGCAGCCAUGUAUGACGAUCUAUGCUGAGUCUAUGUAGAGGUUCUCCACGGAAAUAAUCCCUCCAGUCGACUGCACUGCUGCAACAACGUGCGCCUGGGGGAAUCAGUUUAACCGAACAGGAGCUUGACAAGGCCCAGGUGCUGUGAUCAGAAAUGGGGAAUGGUGGUGAAGAAGGUCCCGAGGUCCUCAAGAUCCUCGCAGUCUAAGCGGAUAGUGCUAUGUGCCGUCAACUAAAAGGACUGCAGACAGACGCUCUAACACACAGAGCCAUAAAUCAGGAAGGGACCAGGCUCGUGUUCACUGGCGGCGAUGAGAGCGCUGUGUAGAGGAGGGCGAAGGAGGAGAGGCCAGGAAGCGGGCGCUCCCCACACCCCAGGCCGAGGAUGGGUUCUCACCACCAACACAGGCGGCAGCAGGAAAAAUGGCCAACCAAUGUUAUAGAAUAUACAGUGAUGCCUCGGUUCAUGAACUCAAUUCUCACCAUGUUUCUGGUCACAAACCUAACUGGAUGAGAACCGAAUGACAUUUCCUCAUAAGAUCAACAUUGAACCUAACCACUGAAUUUGAUUCGGUUCUCUUCCAACUCAGUAAAUAAAACAAAAGCAACAAAUGUUGAACGAGGCCAGCUCUAUGUACAGAUCACCACUUGUCCCCAGGAUCCUUCUCCUCUGCUCUUGUCCUAGACCAUCGAACCUACCUGGG